GCCGUGAUCGUCUAGUGGUUAAGGGUAUUGCGUUAUGGCCGCAAUAACCCAGGUUCGAAUCCUGGUCACGGCA
rnacentral:tRNA from 1 species